rnacentral:tRNA from 1 species
UGGGGGAUCGUCUAAAGGCAGGACACCACACUCUGGAUGUGGGAAUUGGGGUUCGAGUCCCUGUCCCCCAG